rnacentral:rRNA from 1 species
CAGGCCUAACACAUGCAAGUCGAGCGGGCCCUUUCGGGGGUCAGCGGCGGACGGGUGAGUAACGCGUGGGAACGUGCCCUCUGGUUCGGAACAACCCUGGGAAACUAGGGCUAAUACCGGAUACGCCCUCGGUCUUUGGACCGUGGGGAAAGGCUUGCUGCCGGAGGAUCGGCCCGCGUCUGAUUAGCUUGUUGGUGGGGUAACGGCCUACCAAGGCGACGAUCAGUAGCUGGUCUGAGAGGAUGAUCAGCCACACUGGGACUGAGACACGGCCCAGACUCCUACGGGAGGCAGCAGUGGGGAAUAUUGGACAAUGGGCGCAAGCCUGAUCCAGCCAUGCCGCGUGAGUGAUGAAGGCCUUAGGGUUGUAAAGCUCUUUUAUCCGGGACGAUAAUGACGGUACCGGAGGAAUAAGCCCCGGCUAACUUCGUGCCAGCAGCCGCGGUAAU